CAGGCUGCCCUCCUCUUGGACUGAGUUCUUCCACUCAAACACUGCCGUCCUGUGUCAAGACAAACCUGUGUGGACACUCAGAGGACCCUGGGAGGGGCAGUCUUCCUGCCCUUCCUCAAGAGGAGCAAAACAGAACCCUCAGAGAUCACCUUUUAACUGCCACCUGAGUUUCAAAAAAGUACAGAAGAAUUAAAUCGGAUGGAGCACUUCAGGAACCUGUCUCCAGCUUCAGCCCCUCUCUUUACCCAGCGAUGCAUCACGCUGCGUUCUAAUGGCUUUGCAACGGGCACCUUAAUCUGCCAUCAAACUGACUCUGGAAGCGCCCCUCGCCAGUCACCUUGGCUACUGGUCUGCUUGCUGACCCAUGGCACCAGUGUAGUGCCCAUCCUGAGCUUGACGCUGCCUCCUGCCUACCAAGAUCCAUCUCAAAGCCUGCUUCCUGGGAAACCGAACGUGCAGAAGGAAAACAGGGAAACAUCGAGCUGCAGCACAACUUAUGCCGAUCAGAAGUCAAUCUAGGGCCCACGGAGGGUCAGGGAUCCUGAUGGUCUUCAUGGCAAUGCCAGGAAAAGCCUGAAGCCAGGCCCCCAAGGAUCAGCGCACAGAGGGAGGGAUUUCCACAUUUCCAAGCUUCUUCCAGUUAAUAGCUGGGGGAUGCCAGACUCAAACCUCAAGCCAGCUUGCCCGUGGAGCCUCUCCCUUGUCAGAUUUCUUUUCAAAUGUCUUUCAAGAAACUAGUGCACAGGAACAAACGAAUGGGGCUUAAUUGCCAAUGGAUUCUUGAUGCUAGGAGGAAAGGAGGGUACUGUAGAGCCUUGCAGACCAUUGGUUCCAGCCUGUGGCUGUCAGAUGAGGAAACCAAGGCCUAGAAAGGGGUGGAGACAAGUCCAAGAUCUAAAUGGUGGUGGCGUUGGGACAGAACUCCAGAUCUCCCAGCUCCAUCCUGAGUUUCUAAUUUACCCAACUCCACUGUGAGGGAGGCAGACAGAGGAGAGUGGAGAAAAGGGAGAGGGGUAGAGCCAAGACUUUCACUCCAAAUCCCACUGACCUGGGCCAAAGGCCUCCUCAAUACUAUAACAAUGGCAACUUUUACUGAGCACCUACUAAGUGGCAGGAGUCCUAUUAAGCACUGUGGCUCAUUUAAACCAUUAUCUCAUUGAAGUCUCACAACAACCCAAUAAAGGUGGGUAUUAUUAUUAUACCUACCUUAUAGGACAGGAAUCAGACUCAGAGAGGUGAAGUCAUUUUCUCAGAGAUAUCCAGCCUAAGGGCGGCUGAGUCCGGCCUGAACACCAGCUCAAUUUCACUUUAGCAUUCCCUCUCUUGCUUAGUGUAAUUUACAGUCCCCUGGUCUCUUCCCAGAUCCUUGGAGACUCUAGUUUCUUUCCUUGGUUUUUUACUCCUCCUCUCCCUUUCAAACUACAAGAAGAGGGAAGUUAUCCAUCCUGUAAGUGAAUGCUUAGGACCACGGCAGCCUGGAAGGAUGGGAAGCAUUCGAGAUCGGAGGUUCCUGAAUUCAAACCCUAACUCUGUCACUUGCUAGUUCUGUCCCCCGUCGGAGCCUCUAGCUCCUCAUUGGUGAAAUGAUAAAUAGAAAACCCAUGAUUAUAAACCCUUCUAUCUUGCCAAAGCAAAACACUUGGCCCUUUAUUAGAGGUCCUGUAGGCCCUUCUAUUCCAAUAAGUCCUCACCCAUGGAGUUAGGAGCAAGGAUGAUCUCAGGGCAAAUAAUUACUGGAGCAGGAGGCACAGUGAAGAAGGAGGCAAACAGUUGAUAUUCAAAAUAUUCAACCUACCAGUGGCCAAUGGCCUUCCUUGGUGCUCAGUCUCCCCAUCUGCACAAUGGGAAUGAAGGCAACAGAAUACUUCUCCUACGGUUGUUGUGAGCCUUGAAUGAAAAUAACACCUGGGAAGUGCCAAGCCCCUUGCCUGGUACAUCACAAAUGAUCAACAAAUGGUACUAUUAUUAUUGUCAUCUCAGGGCCAGUGGCUUACAAGUCCUGAGAGUCACUCUUGGACCAUGCCAAGAAGCAAAAACACCAGCUAUAACCCAGACUAGGGGUUCUCAAACAUCAGUGGGCACGAGAGUCAAUUGCAGGCAGAGCCAGGUUCAUGGGUGUACGUCCUGUGCAGUCACACAGGACCCCAUGCUUAGAAGACUCCAGCUGUGGUUCAAUGCUGUGCUGUCACCAUCUCGAAAUUCUAAAUAAUUUCUGAACAAGGGCCCUGUGUUUUCAUUUGGCACUGGGCCCCAUGAAUUACACAGGCCAGCCUUGUCUGGAGAACUUAUUAAAACACAGAUAACUGGGCCCACCUCAAGGAUUUCUGAUUCAGUAGAUUUGGGAGGUAGUCCACCACACCCCACCAAUCUGCAUUUCUGACAAGUUCCCAGAUCGUGCUGGUGCUACUGGUCUGUGGACCACAUUUUGAGAACCACUGACUGAGACAGUGGCUGUGAACCCCGAUUAUACAUUAGAAUCGCCAGGAAAGUACCUGGGCUCCACCUUCACCUGACUGAAUGGAAUUGUUAUGAGUGCAUUCCUAGCUUCAGUAUUUUUGAAAGGCUCACCAGGUAAUUCUAAUGUACACCCAGCAGCGAGAACCACCGGGUUAGAGCAGAGAAUCCUGAACUUCCCUCAGGAAAAGAAACCCCUGUAGGCAUGAGUCACCCACACGAACACCCAGGCGCCAUCCUAAACCCAGUGCUGUGCGGAAUGUCUAGAGAAGGGUCAAGGAGGCUGUAUGUUCAAUAAGCACUUGAGAUGAUCCUUAGCCUGGGACAAUGUGGGAAAACCUGUUUAGAGCAGCAUUUCUCAAUCUUUAAUGAGCACAGGAAACACUUGGGAACUUGUUACGCAGCAGAUUCCAAUUUAGUCGACCUAGGAUGGGCCCAGGAAUUUAUACUUCUCCCCAGCUCCCUGGGAAUACUACUGCUUCUGGUCCAGGGACCAUACUUGGGGUAACCCAGGUCUAGGCUAAAGAAACAGGAAGGUAAUGGGGUGGCUUAAAAUUUGGUGAAGCAAUCUCCAAUUGUCCAGGACAAGAAGAAGAUGGGAAAAAGGUGAUGCAUCCCAGCUUCGGU